rnacentral:lncRNA from 1 species
GGCAGAUGGGUGACCCAGCAGAAGUAGGGUGCUGACCAAGAGAAAGGAAGAAGGGUGAAGUCGAGGUGAACAAACUGUGCUGGCUUGUGCCCAAUGUGGCUGACACAGUCCUCAGGAGGGAGAGACACAACAGAUGAAGUCAGAGAACUCAGGCAAGCAACACGUUUUAGGACAACAGCCCUGGAUAAGGAUUCAGGACACAUGGGCUUCAGAUCUGCCUCUAGCACCAUCUGCCUGUGGACUGCACACUCUCCAAGGAGUACGCCAUGAAGGCCUCUAAGU